UAGAGAAGUGUCUAUUCAUGUUUUCUGCCCAUUUCUUCACUGGGUUAUUUGUUUUCCGGGUGAGUAGUUUGGUGAGCUCUUUAUAGAUUUUUGGAUACUAGCCCUUUGUCUGAUAUGUCAUUUGCAAAUAUCUUUUCCCAUUCCGUUGGUUGUCUUUUAGUUUUGUUGGUUGUUUCCUUUGCUGUGCAGAAGCUUUUUAUCUUCAUAAGGUCCCAGUAGUUCAUUUUUGCUUUUAAUUCCCUACAGCAUGGGACUUUUAAUCUCAGGAUUGUGUGUUCAAGCCUCAUGUUGGGUGUGGAGUCUAUUUAAGAAAAAAAUUUUCCCCCUUGUUAGGCAAAGGGAACCUUUGGGAUUUGGAUGCUACAGUUUCCCUUGGAUCUCCUUUGUAAUCACUCAGUUUCUAGUUCUUGGCUAGAAGGGGACAAUUUUCCAGAGAACUUUUUGUUUACAUUAUCAAGUUUCUGCAUCUCCUGGCUCCACCAAAAGAAGGACAGCUUGAUAGUGGUCAAGAAGGUUUGGAGUAUAUGGACCAAGACAGGGUUUGGGAAGUCCUUAACAAUGGCACAAGCAUCAGAAGUUGACAUUAGGAAAUAUCAGAGACCUCUUCAUCUGGAGGGUGUAGUUUUAAGGGGCUUCGAGUAUGGAUAGUUCUGAAGAUGGAAGAGGAGGGAAGAGAAAGGAAAGAUAAAUAGGAAAGUGUGGAACAGAGUUUUAGAUGGACGCACAAAACUGAGGCAGAUUAAAAAAUUUUCACAUCUCAUUGGUCUAGGCAAAGAGUUUUAGGGAACCUUAAGAAUCUGGAUUAUAUCUCUCUCAGUUUCUUAGCCAUAUUUUAAAUUUAAACUCACAAGGAAUUGCAAAAAAUAAUACCAAGCAUUCCUGUGUCCUUCAUGCAACUUUCCUGAGGUGCCUCAGUGGUGAUAUCUUGUAUAAGCAUAUUUCGUUAUCAAAACCAAGAGAUUGACAUUAGUACAAUACUUUUAACGACAGACCUUAUUUGAAUUUUUGUAUAGUUUUAUGAAAUUUUAUCACAUAGGUACUUUUUUAAAGUUUUUUUUUUUAAAUGUUUUUAGUUUUUUUUUGAGAGAGAGUGCAAGCAGGGGAGGGGCAGAGAGAGGGAGACACAGAAGCCGAAGCAGGCUCCAGGCUCUGAGCUGUCAGCACAGAGCCUGAUGUGGGGUUCAAGCCCACGAACACGAGAUCAUGACCUGAGCUGAAGCCAUACGCUCAACCGACUGAGCCCAUAAAGAUUUUUUUUUUUUUAACGUUUGUUUAGAAAGAGAGAGUGCAAGCAUACGCGAGUUGGGAAGGGGCAGAGAAAGAGGGAGAGAGAGAAUCCCAAGCAGGCUCUAUGUUGUCAGGGUGAAGCCUGACCUCAAUUCAACAAACUCUGAGAUCAUGACCUAAGCUGAAAUCAAGAGUCGGACAUUUAAGCGACUGAACCACCCUGGCAUCCUGUAAGAUUUUUAUUUUUGAGUAAUUUCUGUACCCAGUGUCGGGCUCCCACUCACAACCCUGAGAUCAAGAGUCCCACACUUCAUUGACUGAGCCAGCCAGGUGCCCCCAUUCACAUAUGUAGAUUCUGAUAACUACAAUCAUCAGGGUACAGAACUUUUCUAUCUUCACAAAGAAACUCUUAUGCUAACCUUUCUAUAUAACCUUCUCCAUAUUUCUAACCACUGGCAACCACUGGGGCAACCACUGACCUAUUCUUCAUCUGUAUAAUUUUGUCAUUUCAAGAAUGUUAUAGAAGUGGAGUUAUAAAGUAUACAACCUUUCGAAAUUGGCUUUUUUUACUCAGCAUAAUGGCCGCGAGAUCCCUUCAUGCGUCAACAGUUUGUUGCACGUAUUGUGUUGUUCCUUUUCAUUGUUGAGUAGUAGUCCAUUGUAUGGGUGCCCCACAGUAUAUCCAUUCACUUUUCAUAGGACAUUUGGAUUGUUUCCACUUUUCAGCUAUACAAAUAGAGCUACUACUAUAAACAUUCAUGUACAGAUUUCUUAUGCGGAUGUGUGUUUUCAUUUCUCUAGGAUAAAUAUCCAGGAGUAUCAUUGCCAAGUCUUAUGAAGGAAAUCCUAACGCAUGGCUACAGCAUGGAUGGACCUGAGGACAUCAUGCUAAGCGAAGUGAGCCAGUUACACAAAAAGAAAUGCUGUGUGAUUCUACUUAUAUGAGGUACUUAAAAUAGUUAGAAUCCUAGAGACAGAAAGGGUGGCUGCCAGGGGCUGGGAAGAGGGGAGAGUAGGGAGUUCUCUCAUGGGUCUAGAGUUUCAGUGUUCUAAGAAGAGAAUUCUAGAGAUGGAUGGUGGUGAUUAUUGUGCAACAUGACAAAUAUAUUUAAUGCCACUGAACCGUUCACUUAAAAAUAGUUAAGAUGGUGGGGCGCCUGGGUGGCUCGCUUGAGCGUCCAACUUUGGCUCAGGUCAUGAUCUCACAGCUUGUGGGUUCGAGCCCUGUGUUGGGCUCUGUGCUGACGGCUCAGAGCCUGGAACCUGCUUCAGAUUCUGUGUCUCCCUCUCUCUCUGCCCCUACCUCCCUUGCUCUGUCUCAAAAAUAAACAUUAAAAAAAUUAAAAAUGAAAAUAGUUAAGAUGGUAAAUUUUAUGUAUAUUUUACCACAAUAAAAACAAUUGGGAAAAAAAUGUCACGAAGUAGGUAGAACGGGAACAUGGCACGCAAAAAUGAACUGUUACUAUUGUGUUCUGUAUACGCAUUAUCUUUAAAAUUUCCUUUAAUAUAGCAACACUACUGCUUUCAUAACAGAAAGCACUGACAGAAAAAAAAAAAAUCAGGGAAAAAAUUUUUGAGAUCUUUGGGUAGUUGUUAUUUGCCCCAGGAAGUACCCAGGUAGUCAUGGGAAAAACUCGUUUAACAUCCUCGCACUUUAUAAUUUGCUAUUGUUUUAAAAAAUUUUUUACUACAGAUCAUUGGGGGCCCAUAACCUUUCCAGUUUUAGGUUUUAGUUUAGGUUUACGUUUUUGGCUGGUCUUGGGUGCAGUCCAUUCGAUUUUCAGGCCGAGGGACUUGUGCCGGGAUGGCCCCCGGGGCCCCGCAGCUCUCCGAGAAGCGCAUCUGUGUGGUCACAGGAGCCCCGGCCUCCUCACCAGCUUAUUCCAUUUGCACGAAAACUCCCCCCCCCAUGGACCUGGGAUAGUGAUCCUGGUUUUGUCUUUCAACUCCAGGGCAAGGGUGGUUUUUUUUGUUUUUUUUUCUGUAAGUGAUCAAUUAAUCACUAGAAAUAGACAUGUGGAGCACCUGGAAGUGGACCAAAAUAUCCGGGAGCCAAAUGCUUCCAGUCUGGCAGCAGAAGGGGACGCCUGGCGAAGGCUCGUGGGCCCAGCUUGGUGUGGAGCAGGAGACGGGGGCUCCUGCUCCCGUCUCGACUAUGUGAGGAAGACCUGGAUGUGCCUCCCGCUGUUCAGUGAGUGACACUUAAAUGGGUAGCGCUGUUUGGGGAUAACAAUGAAAACUAACGGCUAUGCUUUUCACUGACAGAGCUAGACUGUUCCAAGAAGCUUGAGGUGGACUAUUUUUGGACUUGACUUUGAGAACUUCCAGGCCCAUAUUUGACCUUGUUGGGAAGUUCCCUAAGCCCAAGCGUUGAGAAGAGAACCACCUGGGCGGUCCAUCGUGAGCUGAAAUGAGCAAUGUCGGUUUCACGAUAACUGGCGUAUACUGAGCAGGGACCCUGCGCCGGACGUUGCUGUGCUGCUUACCAUGCGUCAGCACGUCUGGUCCUCGCAACCACUCUGUGAGCAGUACUCUAGGAUUCCCAUUUUUCAAAAAGCAAAUUAAGAUUCCGGUAGUCUUAGGUGCUGGCCCAAAGCCACCUAGUGACUUGACCUGGCUUUUUUUUUUAGAAGUUCCAAGUCAGCACAGACAUGCCAUAAAUCCAGGUCUGAAAUAUGGGAACUGUCAUUUCCCUAAACCAACCAAAAUGUCCUGUGGGAGGAAACAGUCCUAAGUCUGUGGCUUUUUUUUUUUUUUUUUCCAAUUUUCAAUGGAUUUCUUCUUCUUGAUUAGGAAAGGUUUCCUCUUCUUGUGCAGAAACUCACCAGUGAGUAAUGGAGAACCUUUCCAGCAAAUUAGAAGACUUGAGAAAUAGAAAAUCCUUCAUUUACCGUUGGAAGACCAGAGCAUUUCCAAAUAGACUUUAAGCCAACACUACAUAAAUUCGAAUUUCCUUAGAGGCAGCAGUUUUAAUGUUGAUAAUCUCUAAGAGCAGUACUAUUGGGUGGUUUCUGAGUAAACUUUAGACUCUCAAAAGUUUAGUUUUAGUGGUUUAAUAAAACCUGAAUCUGUAUAGUUCUUUUAGUCAGCAAGUCUGAGGUCGAAGUACUCCUGGCCAUCAGCUCACCACGCUCAUUCCACAUCGGUUGCCCAGAAUCUCUGGUAGAGACAGUCACCCCGUGAAGCAGCCACUCUUAGGUGAGUAGUCGGGUCUGGGGUGAGGGCAGAGGUGGGGGGGAAGCUACCAAAGCAGUCCCUUAGGGGGACGGCCACCACGUGGCUGAAUGGCUGGAUAGGAUUUUCAGAGUUAACUUCCUAAAUUAUACUGGGGCUGCUGUACAAAGCCAGACUGGGCCUCCGAGAACUCAAAGGUACUGUCGGUAGGCACCCCCCUCGCUUCCCCUCUCCUGUUGGAUCUUUAUCUUGCCACAGUGGAUGAAAGGUCCACCUGGAUCUUCCCCGCAGCAGUGAACAGCCCCAGAGAGGAGUCCGUGUGGAACAUGGCCCGCCAGGGCCCACUAGAGCGCGGGGCGAGGGCCCAGGGGCCAUAUCCUAACCCCAGCCACCCCUGACCAAGUCUGUUCCUCUAAGAAGCCAGCUGUGUGGAUUCACAGGUCAGAUGGAGGGAAAGGCCUCAGUUACUUCCUCGGCUUUUCUUGGUCCCUCGGUAGGUGGAGAGGCCUGCGAAGGACCAUACCGAUGACUGCUCUGGCCUCCCUCCCCAGGCUCUUCACAGCACCGCACCCCAGGGCCCCACCCGACGCAGUGGGUGUCUCUGAAGGGAGUCAGGCAUGCAGUACAGGGAUCCCAGGCUGAAUCCCUUUUAAAAACCCCAGACUCGGGCAAUUAGAAGGAGUGUUUUCAAUAUUUUAUUAACAAAUAAAUUGGUAGAACAAUUUCUCUGGUAAUCUCCCCCCCCCCCCCCCCACCCCCAUUUAACGUCCAGCAUGUGGCCGCCAUGAUGGUCGGUGUCUAACCUGCUCUGCUAGCUGGGUUCUCAGCAGCCCCCUCGGCCUAGUUCAGUCAUCCUCCCAAGGACUUUGGGGCAAAGAGAAAACUCCCCUCCUCAAGAGGGCGAGAGAGAGAGACAGAAGCUUCUGCUUGGAGGCCAGGGCCACAAAGGCAAGCCAGGCCUUAUUCCUUUUGGAGGAGGGGCACAGGUUCUUCUUCCUAGGGCAGAGCACUUGUGCCCGCCCCCAUCCGCCUUCCCGAGGAGGUGAGCCCAGCGUGAGAAAGCCCUGAGUGGAAACUCAACGUUACGAGGACACCACUCUUUUCUCUUAGACCUGCUAAGAGGGCACCCGGCGAUCUCUGUCAGCAGAGUGAGACUCUAGGACUAAAACAAAAGCCUAGGAGGAGCCCUUGCCUUGGCAAAACCUUGGGUGGAUCAAACCGCAACACUGCACAGACCUAGUAACUACAGCGGUGAGGUGAGCAGACCGUCAACCUGUCGGGGAGUACGGAGGAGGAAGAGACUAUUCCAGGUAAAACACUUGGUCGUCGAGCACCUUUUCUCCAAGAAGUUUGGCACUAACUCUAUACCAUCAAUUCUUCCACGAAGAUAGCGUGACCAACUCAUCUCCGGGGUCCUCAGGGCAGGCGUUUGAGCUCAGUCUUCUUCCUCUAAUGUCCAAUAAAGAUAACCCUACACGUG